rnacentral:lncRNA from 1 species
AUCACUUGGUAGUUUAAAGAGGAUGUUUGGGAAACAACUAGUGCUGUUAUAGACUUUUACAAAGGCUAUUGCUCAUCCUGCCAACUUCCUGUACUCAAUGAUGUCCAUGCUCUGAGCUUCAAGACUGGAGUAUCCAAUUCUCACAGGGCUUCCAUCAAUGAAUGUCCUGGGCAAACCCAGGAACACAGAAAGCUGGCUAGAGCAGCCUUUGACGAUGGCAAGGAGAAAGCUGUACCCACUCGUGAAAUAAAUGGACCUGGACCCCACAGCCCUUUGUGGUAGUGUCUUGGCAGCUGAACAAAGGCAGCAGCAUUUCUACAUCCAGUUUGUAAAGCCUCA